AUUGAACGCUGGCGGCAGGCCUAACACAUGCAAGUCGAGCGGAGGAAGGGAGCUUGCUCCUGGAUUCAGCGGCGGACGGGUGAGUAAUGCCUAGGAAUCUGCCUGGUAGUGGGGGAUAACGUCCGUAAACGGGCGCUAAUACCGCAUACGUCCUGAGGGAGAAAGUGGGGGAUCUUCGGACCUCACGCUAUCAGAUGAUCCUAGGUCGGAUUAGCUAGUUGGUGGGGUAAAGGCCUACCAAGGCGACGAUCCGUAACUGGUCUGAGAGGAUGAUCAGUCACCCUGGAACUGAGACACGGUCCAGACUCCUACGGGAGGCAGCAGUGGGGAAUAUUGGACAAAGGGCGAAAGCCUGAUCCAGCCAUGCCGCGUGUGUGAAGAAGGUCUUCGGAUUGUAAAGCACUUUAAGUUGGGAGGAAGGGCAGUAAGUUAAUACCUUGCUGUUUUGACGGUACCAACAGAAUAAGCACCGGCUAACUUCGUG
rnacentral:rRNA from 1 species